AGAGUUUGAUCCUGGCUCAGAAUCAACGCUGGCGGCGCGCUUAACACAUGCAAGUCGAACGAGAAAGGGAGCAAUCCUGAGUAAAGUGGCGCACUGGUGAGUAACACGUGGAUAUCUACCUCUUGGUGGGGAAUAACCUGGGGAAACCUAGGCUAAUACCGCAUAAGUUCGUGAGAAGAAAGGCGCAAGCCGCCGGGAGAGGAGUCCGCGGUCGAUUAGGUAGUUGGCGGGGUAAAAGCCCACCAAGCCAAAGAUCGAUAGCCGGCCUGAGAGGGCACACGGCCACACUGGCACUGAAACACGGGCCAGACUCCUACGGGAGGCAGCAGUGGGGAAUCUUGCACAAUGGGGGAAACCCUGAUGCAGCGACGCCGCGUGAGCGAUGAAGCCCUUCGGGGUGUAAAGCUCUUUCGGCAGGAACGAUAAUGACGGUACCUGCAGAAGAAGCUGCGGCUAACUACGUGCCAGCAGCCGCGGUAAUACGUAGGCAGCGAGCGUUGUUCGGAAUUACUGGGCGUAAAGAGUGUGUAGGCGGCCCUUCAAGUCGGUUGUAAAAUCUCUCGGCUUAACUGAGAGGGACCAUCCGAUACUGUCGGGCUAGAGUGCAGCAGAGGAAAGCGGAAUUCCCGGUGUAGUGAUGAAAUGCGUAGAUAUCGGGAGGAACACCAGUGGCGAAGGCGGCUUUCUGGGCUGUUACUGACGCUGUGGCCCGUAAGCGUGGGGAGCAAACAGGAUUAGAUACCCUGGUAGUCC
rnacentral:rRNA from 1 species